UCCAUGGCCAGAAGCAUCACAUGGUGAGAGCACAAGCACAAAAGAGAAAAUCAGAACAAAUAUAUACUUUUUAUCAGAAAUCCACUUCCACAUAUAUGAGAGUUCUACUUCCUCCACAUACUAUAUAACACCAGAAUGACACAGACUGAGUAAUUUAUAAAGAAAAGAAGUUUAUUUGGCUCAUGGUUCUGAAGGCUGCGAAGUUCAAGGUCCUGGUGGCAUUUUCUGAUGAGGACUUUUGUACCGCAUCAAAACAUGAGGGUAAAAAAUGGCCAAUUGGUGAAAAAAAUAAAAGAAGAAUGGCUAGAACUUCUCCCAAAGAGAAUUUUGUGUUUUGUUUUGUUCAUUGAUUCUCAAGCAACACCUAGAAGGAAAGCUGGAAAUGAAUGAAGAGAAGGAAGAGACGUACAGCUGCACUGGCUUGCCUCUCAGUAAGAUUACAGAUGCUUGCAUGAAUUCAUGACAGAUAAUUAUGUUCUAUAUAUCACACUGACUUUUGUUACAGUGGUACUACCAAGUUCUGGCGAAGAAUGAGGUUGUCAUUGGUAAAUAAUUGUUGAACCAGUUACUACAUUUCCUAGCUCCUCUUACCUCUAUAUGUGUCCAUGAGACUUUUGAUUGUGAAUGGAAGAUGAGAAGAAUUGAUGUGUGCCAUUCUCAGCCAAGGCUUUUUUAAAGAAGAGAGAGAAUGUGUCUCCUCCACGUUUUUGUUUGUUUGUUUGGUUUUGUUCUUACCCAUAUCUUGCACAGAAGCAUUAAAUAACUACAAUGCCCUAGAGAAUGGCAGAUGGGUAAGAUGAAAGGAGCCAGGUCCAGGCAGCACUCCACAGAAUAGGUCUCCCCGAGACACAGAAGAGUGCCACUUGUAUGCAAAGCCAAAAUAAACCUCUAUUGUGUUUGAAUCUUUAUG
rnacentral:lncRNA from 1 species